AUGUUCUACUAUGGCCUGGAUUUCCACGAUCUGGCCCCGAACAUCAUCCUCAACAUCUCGGCGUUUAUCGUCGUGUGCGAGGCUUUCCUCCGCAUCCGCCCCCAUUUCGGCCUCUGGCUCAAGACCUUCAACGUCAAGCCCAAGGUGGUGCGCGGCAGCCAGGCAGAGUGUGGAGGCGCCAUGGCGGGCAAGAUGGCCAACGUCCUAUGGCUCGAGGGCUCCUUCGUGGAGACCCUGAAGGGGUGGCAAUCAUGGUGGUUUUACAUCACCGAGCCGCGCGAUCCGAAAUGGAUCGCAGCCCCCGAGUUCCGAUCCGGACCCCCCACGCGGCUUAUGUCCUGGAAAGAGACGGGCCUGUCGUGGGGCGACGAAAAAGAGGUGACCGGAUUGCAGACAUGCAUCCAGUCCCUGGUGAGCAAGCCGAUCAAGCUUGUCAAUGUAGUCCAGGUUAUGCUCGUCCGUCGGAUCCUCCCGUGUCAACAAUGGGGCUUUAAUCUGUGGGAGUUCGACCCGGCGCAGCACCAAACCCUUAACCGGCUCUUCGACACGACGUAUGAAGACGUCUAG
rnacentral:rRNA from 1 species